UGAGUAACCUGCCCUUGACUCUGGGAUAAGCGUUGGAAACGACGUCUAAUACCGGAUACGACCCUCGGAGGCAUCUCCUGGGGGUGGAAAGAAUUUCGGUCAAGGAUGGACUCGCGGCCUAUCAGCUUGUUGGUGAGGUAAUGGCUCACCAAGGCGACGACGGGUAGCCGGCCUGAGAGGGUGACCGGCCACACUGGGACUGAGACACGGCCCAGACUCCUACGGGAGGCAGCAGUGGGGAAUAUUGCACAAUGGGCGCAAGCCUGAUGCAGCAACGCCGCGUGAGGGAUGACGGCCUUCGGGUUGUAAACCUCUUUUAGUAGGGAAGAAGCGCAAGUGACGGUACCUGCAGAAAAAGCACCGGCUAACUACGUGCCAGCAGCCGCGGUAAUACGUAGGGUGCAAGCGUUGUCCGGAAUUAUUGGGCGUAAAGAGCUCGUAGGCGGUUUGUCGCGUCUGCUGUGAAAUCUGGGGGCUCAACCCCCAGCCUGCAGUGGGUACGGGCAGACUAGAGUGCGGUAGGGGAGAUUGGAAUUCCUGGUGUAGCGGUGGAAUGCGCAGAUAUCAGGAGGAACACCGAUGGCGAA
rnacentral:rRNA from 1 species